UACGAGGGGGGCGAGCGUUGUUCGGAAUUAUUGGGCGUAAAGGGUGCGUAGGCGGUUUGGUAAGUCUGAUGUGAAAUCUAUGGGCUCAACUCAUAGUCUGCAUCGGAAACUGCCGGGCUUGAGUAUGGGAGAGGUGAGUGGAACUGCGAGUGUAGAGGUGAAAUUCGUAGAUAUUCGCAAGAACACCAGUGGCGAAGGCGGCUCACUGGCCCGGUACUGACGCUGAGGUGCGAAAGCGUGGGGAGCAAACAGG
rnacentral:rRNA from 1 species